rnacentral:rRNA from 1 species
CCUACGGGAGGCGGCAGUGGGGAAUAUUGGACAAUGGGGGGAACCCUGAAGCAGCGACGCCGCGUGAGUGAAGAAGGAUCUCGGUAUGUAAAGCUCUAUUAGCAGGGAAGAAAAUGACGGUACCUGACUAAGAAGCCCCGGCUAACUACGUGACAGCAGCCGUGGUAAUACGGAGGGGGCAGGCGUUAUCCGGAUUUACUGGGUGUAAAGGGAGCGUAGACGGCAGCACAAGUCAGGAGUGAAAUUCCGGGGCUCAACCCCGGAACUGCAUUGGAAACUGUGGGGCUGGAGUGCAGGAGGGGUAAGCGGAAUUCCUAGUGUAGCGGUGAAAUGCUUAGAUAUUAGGAGGAACACCGGUGGCGAAGGCGGCUUACUGGACUGUAACUGACGUUGAGGCUCGAAAGCGUGGGGAGCAAACAGGAUUAGAUACCCCAGUAGUC